rnacentral:rRNA from 1 species
GACAGCAACCGCCACGGUAAUACAGAGGGUGCAAGCGUUAAUCGGAAUUACUGGGCGUAAAGCGCGCGUAGGUGGUUUGUUAAGUUGGAUGUGAAAUCCCCGGGCUCAACCUGGGAACUGCAUCCAAAACUGGCAAGCUAGAGUAUGGUAGAGGGUGGUGGAAUUUCCUGUGUAGCGGUGAAAUGCGUAGAUAUAGGAAGGAACACCAGUGGCGAAGGCGACCACCUGGACUGAUACUGACACUGAGGUGCGAAAGCGUGGGGAGCAAACAGGAUUAGAUACCCCAGUAGUCCCUGUCUCUUAUAC